rnacentral:rRNA from 1 species
ACAGUGUCAGGCGGGCAGUUUGACUGGGGCGGUCGCCUCCUAAAAGGUAACGGAGGCGCUCAAAGGUUCCCUCAGAAUGGUUGGAAAUCAUUCAUAGAGUGUAAAGGCAUAAGGGAGCUUGACUGCGAGACCUACAAGUCGAGCAGGGUCGAAAGACGGACUUAGUGAUCCGGUGGUUCCGCAUGGAAGGGCCAUCGCUCAACGGAUAAAAGCUACCCCGGGGAUAACAGGCUUAUCUCCCCCAAGAGUUCACAUCGACGGGGAGGUUUGGCACCUCGAUGUCGGCUCAUCG